CUGUGAGAAUGCCUUGAUGGAUGGAGCUGAGGAUGGCCAGACUCUUAAGCAGCUAUGCUGGACUACCAAGGAAGGAUAAGAAUCAUCAAAAAGGGUUGAGGGUUUUAUGACUGGAUGAUGGCAAGACCCAGAUGAUGUCAGUCAUUUUGGGCUGUGAUUAAGUGCCAUGAUGCUGCAAAAACAGAGAGUUGAAGACUUCACCAACACUCCAAGAAGUUCAAAGUAACUGUAAUAAAAGGAGACAAAUCCAUAAUGACAACACAACUACAGCAUGGAGUUGAUAUUUAUGCAAUAUAUAACUGCAAAUAUUUCUGC